CCUACGGGGGGCUGCAGUGGGGAAUAUUGCACAAUGGGCGCAAGCCUGAUGCAGCCAUGCCGCGUGUGUGAAGAAGGCCUUCGGGUUGUAAAGCACUUUCAGCGGGGAGGAAGGCGGUGAGGUUAAUAACCUCAUCGAUUGACGUUACCCGCAGAAGAAGCACCGGCUAACUCCGUGCCAGCAGCCGCGGUAAUACGGAGGGUGCAAGCGUUAAUCGGAAUUACUGGGCGUAAAGCGCACGCAGGCGGUCUGUCAAGUCGGAUGUGAAAUCCCCGGGCUCAACCUGGGAACUGCAUUCGAAACUGGCAGGCUAGAGUCUUGUAGAGGGGGGUAGAAUUCCAGGUGUAGCGGUGAAAUGCGUAGAGAUCUGGAGGAAUACCGGUGGCGAAGGCGGCCCCCUGGACAAAGACUGACGCUCAGGUGCGAAAGCGUGGGGAACAAACAGGAUUAGAUACCCCGGUAGUC
rnacentral:rRNA from 1 species